GAGUAACACGUAGGCUAAUCUACCUUUAGGACUGACACAACUCGUCGAAAGACGGGCUAAUAUCAGAUAAUGCAGCGGCUCCGCAUGGAGACAGUUGUUAAAGUACAAGCGCCUGAAGAUGAGCCUGCGGUCCAUUAGCUAGUUGGUAGAGUAACGGCCUACCAAGGCAACGAUGGAUAGCUGGUCUGAGAGGAUGAUCAGCCACACUGGAACUGAGACACGGUCCAGACUCCUACGGGAGGCAGCAGUAAGGAAUAUUGCUCAAUGGCCGAAAGGCUGAAGCAGCAACGCCGCGUGAAGGAUGAAUGGCCUUUGGCCUGUAAACUUCUGUAAAAGAGGAAAAAUAGUUAGGUAUAUCCUAAUGUGAUUGUACUCUUGAAGUAAGCCCCGGCUAACUACGUG
rnacentral:rRNA from 1 species